UGGGGAAUCUUGCACAAUGGGGGAAACCCUGAUGCAGCGACGCCGCGUGAACGAUGAAGCCCUUCGGGGUGUAAAGUUCUUUCGACAGGAACGAUAAUGACGGUACCUGGAGAAGAAGCUGCGGCUAACUACGUGCCAGCAGCCGCGGUAAUACGUAGGCAGCGAGCGUUGUUCGGAGUUACUGGGCGUAAAGAGUGCGUAGGCGGCGAGCCAAGUUUGGUGUGAAAUCUCCCGGCUUAACCGGGAGGGUGCGCCGAAAACUGGUUGGCUGGAGUAUGGGAGAGGAAAGCGGAAUUCCUGGUGUAGCGGUGAAAUGCGUAGAUAUCAGGAGGAACACCUGCGGUGUAGACGGCUUUCUGGACCAAAACUGACGCUGAGGCACGAAAGCGUGGG
rnacentral:rRNA from 1 species